AGUAAAGUAUAAUAUUUUUUAUUUCAAAUUAACAAAGUUCUAAAUGUCUACUAAAUGCCGAAAUACUAAAACGCUUAGGAAAAGUGUGGGCCCUCCAAAGCUGAUGAUUUUUUCGUACAUAAAGUUUGUAUGUGGUGACACGUUCCAGUAACAAGCAAGACAGACUUUGAAGGCUGAUAAGGCAUGUGUCAUGGCUUCACGCUGGUGUGGUGGACACAAACCUCCUAAUGUCAUUGGAAUGUCGGACGGGAUCAAAGUCUAUUCAUCUUGUCACAAUCACAACACCCCCUGCAGAAUGUCAGUCAACUUGUGAGUCUGUGUCUUCAAGAGGGCUGGAGCUGCAGAAUGCCAGAUUACCUGCCCAGAAUAUUUUCGUGAGGGAGAGGAGAACACGGUGAUAUGCAUCAUAACCAGAUCGGCAACAGAUGACAAGUGUGUGGACCUACAUGCUCGUCCACAUUUAAUGUUUACCAGCAAGUCAAAAGAUAAUUAUCCUCUAUGCAUUUAUUCCAAAUCCAGUAAAUGCGGCGUGUGUGAAGAUAUCAAUGACAAAGAAACCAAAUGCAUUUUUAAAGUCUUUGGAAACAGAACUCUGGAAGGGGGCGACCUGGAGUGCAAAGUCUGUUCUCUAUGGGGGUCUAGUAAGCAUGAAAUGAAUAAAGGAAUCUGCAAGAAACAUCAAAAUAGUUAACGGGGCCUCUUCCUACACGGAUACAUUGUUGCCAUUAUUUGUUCCACUUGCUGUGAUAGCGUGGAGGCUGUUGUAGAAGAAUUUGUUUCAAGUUCAUCCCAUCUAUAAACUGAUUACAUUUACAGCGACGUGAAGCAUUCGUCGAACAAGGAUUGGCUGGGAGGAAAGUGUUUUGUUUGUUUGCUUUGUUUCAAUUUUAUUUACCUGAUCAUAGUGUGCUUUUAAAGUAUUUACCCUCGUUUUUUCUAAAGUUUUGUGAUUUUACUUUAUUGACCGUGUAACUGUGUUGUCGGCUGUGUUUGCCACGAGGGUGAGUGUGAUUACUAGUGUGUACGCGGGUGGACGUGUGAAUAGGCGGUUGAGUGGUUGUGACAGGACAAAAGUCGGGUGUAAGCGAACAAGUAGAAGUGUCCCCUCUCCUCUCGGCCGAGUUAGGCCCAUCCUUCUCCUCGCCUCAUUCGUCGGAAAUUAUUUUUAUCGAAUUUGUACAGUUUGCCAUGCUCUCCUGACAGAGGCUCAGUACUUACCAAUGUAAUCUCUUUACCUCCUUCGCGCUAAAUCUUAUUUGCUUAUUUACUUUGGACACAUCUGUCUGCUUUAUUGUUGUUAAAAGGAAAUGCACUCAGAAAAAAGCUAAAUACUAGAAACAAAUCUGCAUGCAGUGUUUAUCAGGACACUUGUCUUAGUUAAGACUCAGUAAAAGUGUUGGAAAUAUGAAAAUAAAUAUUCUACGUUGAAUGUAACACUUCAGAGAAAUUUGACUGUAAUAUUUUGACUGGAAUUAUUUAAGAUUUUGUUCACUGAAAGGUGUACAAAAAUGGACUUCAAAGGAAUGUUAGCAAAAAGUAAAUUUCUGUAUACCUGUUACAAAUGUAGUUUACUGGUAUUGUUCCAUUGGAAUUUGAUAUUUCCUACCUUCUACAAGUGGCCUUUUUAUAACAUUUUAUGCGUAUAGGUUAAAACAAUGGAAUGAGCGAAAUAAAAUGACAUUUGAUAUU